rnacentral:lncRNA from 1 species
CAGAGAGUGCUCCUUGGUUUCAGAGAAGCGGGAAGAAAGCAGUCAUGGCAUUCAGAUUUCUGCAUUAAGACGGAGAUGGCGAGGGUCUAUAUCCAUACCUUGUAAUGAAGUUCUAGUGUUUUAUUACAAGAAUUCUAAGAAGAAAUCCAUAACUUUAUGUGCAUCUCAUGUCAUGGCAUGUGCUCAAAAUUGAUUAUUAAAGACCUAAAUCAGGUGAAAGAAUUACCCUGAUUAAAUCAAUGGCAUCUACAAAAAAUCUUCAACUUCAC